ACCAUUGCAUGUUUUAAUUCCUCCACCAUUAAAAAACCCCUAUAUUUGUGGAUGUUUCAUAUCCAGAACAAAAUUAAUGGUCUGAAAACCUGUAUUCCUUUUUAAUAGGCUACAAUCAUGUACAGCCAUUUAUUUCUACACCCUUUUCUUCCUUCUUUCCUCAGUGCAGAAAAACACAACCCAUUCCAAUUUACCCCUAAGCAAACUUUGUGAGAUAUUGUAAAGAAAACAUUCUUUCAUAUCCCUCUUUCUAAAUUCUCGUUCAAUAAGAAAAUGGCAGGUAACGUGUACCUAAAAACCAACCGCUUCGAAGUAAAACUCGAAGGGAUCACAUUCAAGACGAAAGAUUUCGAGUAUUUAUGCAAAAUUGAUUUCCUCUUUCCGGAAGGUAGGGUGUGGGACCACCCACCGAUUGUGGGCCUCGACGUAAUGCGCCACCCUCGUGAUCCGUCAAUUCUUCUCAUCUUACUAAGCUUCGGCGUUGGCUGUGUAAUCCUCAGGUUUGUUGCAGGGGAACCACUUCCUCUUCCGAUCCAUAAAUUCCUUUCAGACAAGAGAAUCCGCUUUGUCGGGUUCGGCAUACCCGAGAAGAAAAAAUUGUUCCCAUUUCAAGAAUUGGGCUUGUCCAAAACCAAAGUGGACAUUGGAUAUUUAGCAGCAAAGAUUCUCAAAGAACCAAAAUGCAAGACAUGGGAGCUUGCUGAGCUGGCCCGUAGGGUUCUUGGUAUCAAGAGAAUGAUCGGCAUGACAGAGGCUUCGUCUUUCGAAAGGCACGAGCAGAUAAAGUGUGCCAUUUGUCAGCUCUUUAUUACGAGUGUGAUUGCAAUGGGAUUAUCCAAGGCAAGUGAGAAGAAAAAAAGCUCGUUUCUCAAGAAUUUGAAUUCCUUACAUAUCUUGGCCGAAGGGUGGUUCUUCAAGCUUCCGAAAGGUAAGAAGAAAAAUCAGACAGUACAAGUGGAGGAAGAAGGAGACAGCGUACAUGUCCACAUAGGAGAAAUGGAGGAUAUGCUCGGAGACGAUUUCCUUGUCCGAAUGAGCCCGUUCGGUGAUUCCAAAAAUCAAGAAAGUGACGACACGGAAGAGUAUUCGUCUAGUUCGAAGGUCGAGCAAGAUUCCUCUGGUGAAGAUUUUUCGGAUGACAAAGACACGUCGGAUGAUGGCGAAAAGAACGAGUCUUGUUCGGGUAAACUGCCCUUGAAAGGAAUCUUGAAAUGCCCAUCCACGAAUAAUAUGUUUCCGUCCGAGCCAGUAUCUCCAUCGGCUGAAAAUGAUCAAAAUGGUAUGAAAGGUGCGCUAAAACGAGCCAAUUCAAAAGGAUGUAAUGUGAGGUUUAAAUGUCAAUAGCAUUGUAUUAAACUAGCAGAGGUUGUUCUGUAAGUACACGGGACAACCUAGUUUAUGUCCUUUUUUUAAUGUUGUUUCAUCAGAUUGUUCUAGGUAGAGUUGUAGCAAUUGAAACUGCUGUAUCGACUCAGGUGUAAUUUCUACCUUUUAUCCUAGAAAUGUUUGAAGCAUUUAGUUUCGCUUUUUAUAUAGGAAGAUUAAAUAGAUGGAGUUGAAUCUGCAAACUAAAAUCUACAAGCAAAAUAUGAAGAACUAAAUUUGACAUGCGCAGAGUAUGGUAAUAAGACAAACAAUGAUCAUCGUAAACUAUAAAUUUUAAACUUCGAUUAGUGGUAAUUAAGUUUUCAUUUAAAUCCGUAUAGAUUACAGAGAAGCCAUUAAGAAUGGAUCGACAAAAUCGUACUCAUCUCAGUCCUAACUUAAGCCAGAAGCCACUCCACAAGUGCUACAAAAAAAUUCAAAUUCCAGAGAAAUUGCUUGUUUUUGCAGUACACUCAAGCAAAGUCAACUCAGCUUAAAGCAUAAAAAAAUCAAUAAUCCCACUUAAUAACUUCUAAUCGAGAUUUUAUGCGUCGACAAACUAAAGAUAUAAAAGGAAUCGAAUUCUUGAUUUUGUACGAUCAUUACACAGAUACACGAUGUUCGAAAAGGAGAACCUAGACCUUGUUUUGGUCCCGUGUGGUCUGCUAAUUAUGUUCUCGUAUCAUCUAAUCCUCCUCUACCGAUGUCUUAAGCUUCCUCAUACCACUGUCAUUGGCUUUGAGAACAACGACAAGAAAAUUUGGGUCCAAAAACUUAUGCAGGUCAGAUUUUGCCUUAGUCUAAUGAUUAUAAACGAAUUUCGGAUAGAAUCGAGCCGAACAAAUGACUGUUCAAGUUUAUUUGAAUUUUUUUUUAUCGAACUUUAAGAGUUAUGUUUGAGCUCGAUUUAAUAACCAGAACUUAAUGUGAUAAACAAUCAAUUAGAGCUGGAACGAGCUUUUAUUGAGCCAAAACAUGAUUGUUUUAUUGAGCCGAACACCAAUUUAGCUCUAGUAGAUUGAUUUUUUAUACACAUUUUAUCAUGUAUUUCUAAUUAAUCUCAAGCUCGAGCAAAACCGAGCUUCGUAGAUUAUCGAACAAAACAUGUCCACACGAGUAUUUAACGAUGGACCACAAAUUCAAUAUCUAGUAGUUUGAUUUACUUUUCACUUAUUUAACAUUAACUCAUAUAAAAUUGAUUUUAUUUUCAGAUUAAUCUGUAAUUCAUUGAAUGCUAAUGGUAUGCAACAAACUCACCUUAAAUCUUUUGGUGGUGUUGAAUUUUUGGCAGUCGGAAAACAGGGACGUGAAAACGGCGCUGGACGUGCUAUCGGCGAACGUAACGGCGGC
rnacentral:lncRNA from 1 species